GACGGAGGAUGCAAGCGUUAUCCGGAAUGAUUGGGCGUAAAGCGUCCGCAGGUGGCCGUUCAAGUCUGCUGUCAAAGACCGGGGCUUAACUUCGGAAAGGCAGUGGAAACUGAACAGCUAGAGUAUGGUAGGGGCAGAGGGAAUUCCUGGUGUAGCGGUGAAAUGCGUAGAGAUCGGGAAGAACAUCAGUGGCGAAGGCGGCCUGCUGGGCUGUUGCUGACGCUGAGGCGCGACAGCGUGGGGAGCAAACAGG
rnacentral:rRNA from 1 species